UACGUAGGGUGCAAGCGUUGUCCGGAAUUAUUGGGCGUAAAGAGCUCGUAGGCGGUUUGUCGCGUCGAAUGUGAAAACCCGGGGCUCAACCCCGGGCCUGCAUUCGAUACGGGCAGACUAGAGUUCGGUAGGGGAGUCUGGAAUUCCUGGUGUAGCGGUGAAAUGCGCAGAUAUCAGGAGGAACACCUGCGGCGAAGGCGGGUUGCUGGGCCGACACUGACGCUGAGGCGCGAAAGCCAGGGGAGCGAACGGG
rnacentral:rRNA from 1 species